GAUGCCCUUAGAUGUUCUGGGCCGCACGCGCGCUACACUGACACACNCAACGAGUCCUCCCUUGAUUGAAAAAUCCGGGUAAUCUUGUAAAUGUGUGUCGUGAUAGGGAUAGAUUAUUGCAAUUAUUAAUCUUGAACGAGGAAUUUCCUAGUAAAUGCGANUCAUCAGC
rnacentral:rRNA from 1 species